rnacentral:rRNA from 1 species
UACGGAGGGGGCUAGCGUUGUUCGGAAUUACUGGGCGUAAAGCGCGCGUAGGCGGACCUGCAAGUCGGGGGUGAAAGCCCGAGGCUCAACCUCGGAACUGCCCUCGAUACUGCGGGUCUCGAGUCCGGGAGAGGUGAGUGGAAUUCCUAGUGUAGAGGUGAAAUUCGUAGAUAUUAGGAAGAACACCAGUGGCGAAGGCGGCUCACUGGCCCGGUACUGACGCUGAGGCGCGAAAGCGUGGGGAGCGAACAGG